GACGAACGCUGGCGGCGUGGAUUAGGCAUGCAAGUCGGACGGUAGGGCUUUAUCGUAAGAUAGAGUUUGAGAGUGGCGAACGGGUGAGUAACACGUAGGAAUCUACCCUUAAGACGGGGACAACCCAGGGAAACUUGGGCUAAUACCGGAUGAGAGUGCGAGAGAUUGCAUUUAAAAGGAUGGCGAAAGUUGUCGCUUAGGGAUGAGCCUGCGGUCUAUUAGUUAGUUGGUGAGGUAAGAGCUCACCAAGGCGAUGAUAGAUAGGCGGCCUUAACGGGUGGUCCCCCACACUGGUACUGAGACACGGACCAGACUCCUACGGGAGGCAGCAGUGAGGAAUCUUGGUCAAUGGACGGAAGUCUGAACCAGCCAUGUCGCGUGAAGGAGGACGGCCCUAAGGGUUGUAAACUUCUUUUGCAGCGGAAUAAAGUAUUCCACGUGAUGGGAUAUUGCAAGUACGCUGCGAAUAAGGAUCGGCUAACUCCGUGCCAGCAGCCGCGGUAAUGAGUAGUA
rnacentral:rRNA from 1 species